rnacentral:misc_RNA from 1 species
AAGUCGUAACAAGGUUUCCGUAGGUGAACCUGCGGAAGGAUCAUUAACACGAGAAUGUGUGUUUGUUGUGUGUGCGCCUUUCCUUCGGGUGAGCGCGUGUGCCGCAUCAUGCAUUUUUUUUACCCUUUCCAACCCCAACCUGUUGAAUUGUUUUGCAAGGAUGUUCUCUAUCUGUCGUGUGUUUGUUUUUCAAACACUUGACUUUUUUUCUUUAAACACCUUCAAACCUGAGCAACUGAUGAGAGUAGGAGGCUUCGGUCUUCUGCAAUCAGUUUUUCUAAACUCUUUUGCUAAUAAACAAAAACAAAACAAACUAUUACAACUCUUAGCAACGGAUAUCUUGGUUCUC